rnacentral:rRNA from 1 species
GUAGUCAUAUGCUUGUCUCAAAGAUUAAGCCAUGCAUGUCUAAGUAUAAGCAACUUUGUACUGUGAAACUGCGAAUGGCUCAUUAAAUCAGUUAUAGUUUAUUUGAUGGUUUUUGCUACAUGGACAACUGUGGUAAUUCUAGAGCUAAUACAUGCAUUCAAGCCCCGACUUCUGGAAGGGGUGUAUUUAUUAGAUAAAAAUCAACUUUGUUGGUGGAUCAUAAUAACUUCUCGGACCGCAUGGCCUCGUGCUGGCGGUGCUUCAUUCAAAUAUCUGUCCUAUCAACUGUCGAUGGUAGGAUAGAGGCCUACCAUGGUUGCAACGGGUAACGGGGAAUG